rnacentral:tRNA from 1 species
UGGCUCAGUUGGUAGAGCAUGGUGUUUACAGCACCAGGGUUGUGGGUUCAAUUCCCAC